rnacentral:rRNA from 1 species
UCCCAGACUCCUACGGGAGGCAGCAGUGAGGAAUAUUGGUCAAUGGGCGCGAGCCUGAACCAGCCAAGUCGCGUGAGGGAUGACGGCCCUACGGGUUGUAAACCUCUUUUGUCGGGGAGCAAAUUCCGCCACGUGUGGCGGAGUCGAGAGUACCCGAAGAAAAAGCAUCGGCUAACUCCGUGCCAGCAGCCGCGGUAAUACGGAGGAUGCGAGCGUUAUCCGGAUUUAUUGGGUUUAAAGGGUGCGCAGGCGGAUUUUUAAGUCAGCGGUCAAAUCGUGGGGCUCAACCCCAUCCAGCCGUUGAAACUGGGGAUCUAGAGUGUGCGAGAGGUAUGCGGAAUGCGUGGUGUAGCGGUGAAAUGCAUAGAUAUCACGCAGAACCCCGAUUGCGAAGGCAGCAUACCGGCGCGCAACUGACGCUCAUGCACGAAAGCGUGGGUAUCGAACAGGAUUAGAUACCCGAGUAUA